UAAUGGCUCACCAAGGCGACGAUCCCUAGCUGGUCUGAGAGGAUGAUCAGCCACACUGGAACUGAGACACGGUCCAGACUCCUACGGGAGGCAGCAGUGGGGAAUAUUGCACAAUGGGCGCAAGCCUGAUGCAGCCAUGCCGCGUGUGUGAAGAAGGCCUUCGGGUUGUAAAGCACUUUCAGUCGUGAGGAAGGUGGUAUNGUUAAUAGCUGCAUCACUUGACGUUAGCGACAGAAGAAGCACCGGCUAACUCCGUGCCAGCAGCCGCGGUAAUACGGAGGGUGCGAGCGUUAAUCGGAAUUACUGGGCGUAAAGCGCAUGCAGGUGGUUUGUUAAGUCAGAUGUGAAAGCCCGGGGCUCAACCUCGGAAUAGCAUUUGAAACUGGCAGACUAGAGUACUGUAGAGGGGGGUAGAAUUUCAGGUGU
rnacentral:rRNA from 1 species